GAUGAAGAACGUAGCGAAAUGCGAUAAGUAAUGUGAAUUGCAGAAUUCAGUGAACCAUCGAAUCUUUGAACGCACAUUGCGCCCGGCAGUAAUCUGCCGGACAUGCCUGUCCGAGCGUCAUUUCUACCCUCGAGCGAGUCCAGCAUCUAGGUGCUGGGCCUCGCCCGGCGUUGGAGCACUACGGGAAGCCCUGUGCUGUCCCCCGUAGGCCCCGAAAUGAAGUGGCGGUCCUGCCGCGGCGCCCCCUGCGUAGUAUAACAGCUCGCUUCGGGACCCGGUGGAGGCCUGCCGUCAAACCUAUACCCUCUAAGUUUGACCUCGGAUCAGGUAGGGUUACCCGCUGAACUUAAGCAUAUCAAUAAGCGGAGGA
rnacentral:misc_RNA from 1 species